GGGGGGGUCGGGGGUGAGCAAUGGGGUCCCAGGGCUGUGGGGUCCUGCUGCUGCAGCCGCUCUGUGGGGCAGGGAUGAGGGGGUCACAGGUCAUGGGGUCACAGGUCAGGGGUCGUAGGUCAUGGGGUCACUGGGUGAGCAGUGGGGUCCCAGGGCUGCGCAGUCCUGCUGCUGCAGCUGCUCUGUGGGGUCAGAGGUCACGGGGUCAUAGGUCACAGGGUGAGCACAGGGGUGCCAGGGCUGUGGGGUCCUGCUGCUGCAGCCGCUCUAUGGGGCAGGGGUCAGGGGUCAUGGGGUCAGAGGUCACAGGGUGAGCACAGGGGUCCCAGGGUUAUGCGGUCCUGCUGCUGCAGCCGCUCUAUGGGGUCAGAGGUCAGGGGUCAUGGGGUCAGGGGGGCACGGGGUGAGCAGUGGGGUCACAGGGUCAUGGGGAUGUGGGGUGAGGGUGCCAGGGCUGUGGGGUCCCGCUGCUGCAGCCGCUCUAUGGGGCAGGGGUGAAGGGUCAUGGGGUCACAGGUCAGGGGUCAUAGGUCAUGGGGUCACUGGGUGAGCAGUGGGGUCCCAGGGCUGUGGGGUCCCGCUGCUGCAGCCGCUCUGUGGGGCAGGGGGCAAAGGUCAGGGGUCAUGGGGUGAGCAGUGGGGUCACAGAGACGUGGGGUGAUGGGAACGCAGUGAGGGAUAUGGGCUGUGGGGUGGGGUCACGGGGUCAGGAGGUCACGGGGUCACGGGGUCAGGAGGUCGCGGGGUCGCGGGCGCCCACCCCUCAGUUUGCGCAGUGACGCCUCCACCUCCGUCUCAAUCAGCGGGAAGUCCUGCCGGCUGGGGCACCUGCGGGCACCCCAUAGCGCCCCAUAGCACCCCAUAGCGCCCCAUAGUGCCCCACAGUGCCCCAUAGCACCCCACAGAGCCCCACAGUGCCCCACAGCACCCUAUAGCGCCCCACAGCACCCCAUAGCGCCCCACAGUGCCCCAUAGCAUCCCACA
rnacentral:lncRNA from 1 species